UGCUUUGCACCCUGGACCGCCCCC
rnacentral:piRNA from 1 species